AUGAACGCUAGCUACAGGCUUAACACAUGCAAGUCGAGGGGCAGCAUGGUCUUAGCUUGCUAAGGCCGAUGGCGACCGGCGCACGGGUGAGUAACACGUAUCCAACCUGCCGUCUACUCUUGGACAGCCUUCUGAAAGGAAGAUUAAUACAAGAUGGCAUCAUGAGUCCGCAUGUUCACAUGAUUAAAGGUAUUCCGGUAGACGAUGGGGAUGCGUUCCAUUAGAUAGUAGGCGGGGUAACGGCCCACCUAGUCUUCGAUGGAUAGGGGUUCUGAGAGGAAGGUCCCCCACAUUGGAACUGAGACACGGUCCAAACUCCUACGGGAGGCAGCAGUGAGGAAUAUUGGUCAAUGGGCGAGAGCCUGAACCAGCCAAGUAGCGUGAAGGAUGACUGCCCUAUGGGUUGUAAACUUCUUUUAUAAAGGAAUAAAGUCGGGUAUGGAUACCCGUUUGCAUGUACUUUAUGAAUAAGGAUCGGCUAACUCCGUGCCAGCAGCCGCGGUAAUACGGAGGAUCCGAGCGUUAUCCGGAUUUAUUGGGUUUAAAGGGAGCGUAGAUGGAUGUUUAAGUCAGUUGUGAAAGUUUGCGGCUCAACCGUAAAAUUGCAGUUGAUACUGGAUAUCUUGAGUGCAGUUGAGGCAGGCGGAAUUCGUGGUGUAGCGGUGAAAUGCUUAGAUAUCACGAAGAACUCCGAUUGCGAAGGCAGCCUGCUAAGCUGCAACUGACAUUGAGGCUCGAAAGUGUGGGUAACAAACAGGAUUAGAUACCCUGGUAGUCCACACGGUAAACGAUGAAUACUCGCUGUUUGCGAUAUACUGCAAGCGGCCAAGCGAAAGCGUUAAGUAUUCCACCUGGGGAGUACGCCGGCAACGGUGAAACUCAAAGGAAUUGACGGGGGCCCGCACAAGCGGAGGAACAUGUGGUUUAAUUCGAUGAUACGCGAGGAACCUUACCCGGGCUUAAAUUGCAGAUGAAUUACGGUGAAAGCCGUAAGCCGCAAGGCAUCUGUGAAGGUGCUGCAUGGUUGUCGUCAGCUCGUGCCGUGAGGUGUAGGCUUAAGUGCCAUAACGAGCGCAACCCUUGUUGUCAGUUACUAACAGGUUCCGCUGAGGACUCUGACAAGACUGCCAUCGUAAGAUGUGAGGAAGGUGGGGAUGACGUCAAAUCAGCACGGCCCUUACGUCCGGGGCUACACACGUGUUACAAUGGGGGGUACAGAGGGCCGCUACCACGCGAGUGGAUGCCAAUCCCCAAAACCUCUCUCAGUUCGGACUGGAGUCUGCAACCCGACUCCACGAAGCUGGAUUCGCUAGUAAUCGCGCAUCAGCCACGGCGCGGUGAAUACGUUCCCGGGCCUUGUACACACCGCCCGUCAAGCCAUGGGAGCCGGGGGUACCUGAAGUGCGUAACCGCGAGGAGCGCCCUAGGGUAAAACUGGUGACUGGGGCU
rnacentral:rRNA from 1 species